CUGGCCUGUACACAACGCUAACCUAAACCCCACUACCCGAAUUAACUGUAAAAACAGUGUCUGACAGCAUGAAUUCUCCUUUAAAGAAGCUUCGUUGACAUCUGAGGAACACUAGAUGGCAGGAGAGAAAGAGGAUUCUACUUUAGCUCAUGCCAGUGAGUAUCUAAAAACUUACUUCACGCUUUCAGUAUAGCACAUUGGCACUGCGGCAUUAAAACCACCUCAUCUUCCUCUUCUCCUACAGCCCCGAAAAGGGACCGUCCGACUCCUCAAAGCCACAAUUAAAUAUCAUAAGAUGCAACCACAGCAUGAUCAUCAGCUCUUGAACAUGAGUUGCGAACAUGUCCCAAAUGUCCUGACAAGCAGAAGAAAGAAAAAUGGAGAGGAGAGGAUUAAGCCAGUGGUGGUUUGUCUUGCUAUCUUUAAAAAGAAAGUUAGCUUCUUUGUAACAUGUCAUAUUAUGCAUAUAGUAGUAGCCAAAAGCAUUAUAUAGUAUGUAAGAUGCACGUAAACCAAACUUUACAGUGGAAAAAUAAGAAUAAAUGGUGUAUAAAUUAUUGAAGAUA